rnacentral:lncRNA from 1 species
CAUUCCCUGAUAUUGUAGAAAUUAUUUAUAAGUGAUGAUAACAAUUUCUGCAAAGUGAAGGAAACUAUCGUUCGGUUGAUGUUCUUCUAAUUUCUCCUCUUCACUGCUAGCGGCAUCUCAAGAUUCGGACGACAUCAUACUACAGUCAGUUUUCAUCUUGCCACUGGGUGCCUCACUAAGAUCUCCGAGGAUACAUCUAUCGCAGAACUAAGAAUUCUUCUUUCUGUUGUAAACACGAUGUGUUUGUGAUGGACCUCAACUGGGCUAUGGAACAAAACUCAUCGUACUUACAAUUCAAAGUAGUCUUCUUCAGUAAGAUGAAACUGAACAAUCGACAUGACAAGACGGCCCGUAAUAAUUUCAUAGUAAUUUAGACCGAAGAUUUCGGUCUGGCCCAGUUCGUUCUCUGGAUGAGGAAUAGGGGCCACCCGGGAAGAUACUUCAAAUGCCGCUAUAAUGGCUAUUCUAUUCAAAAUUUAUUCAAUAUCAAGCUAUUAGCUGAUAAAAUAAACAAGAGAAUAUCUACAAAAGUAUAAAUCACAGCAGAGAUGAAGAAGCAGGGAGAGCUGGUCUUGCAAACUGCAUCCUUGCUGUGAAUUACCACGAAACUAAAAUUAACUUAACAUGUAUUUCAACACCUCUAUUUUACUUAAACGUGUGAAUCUCGGGUCACCAUGAUUUAUAGUAGAGGUAAAACUUAAACAAAACAACGGCCGUGUGGUUUCCGGCAUAGAAUAGACCACCCCACCUCCCGAGGGUGUCGUAAGAGGCGACUAAGGGAAAAAUAAUCCAGCAUAAAUGGUGUAUGAUAAGUACCUUGGAUGAAGAUGGAAACGAAAUGAUGGAAUGAUGAUGAAGAUUGAAGAUGCGGAUAGAACUUAGGAAUCACGGUUUCAAUAAGAUCUUGCCGUUGAAGACAGGAUACUGAGUAGGUGAGCUUGGUGAAAUCGUAAGACUUCAGUACAGGAGCACCGAAAUUGCCUAAUGACUCCUGAACAUUGUUACAUUCGCGUUCAAGAACGUGUGCUAAAAGUAGGAACAAUGACUUUACGGUCGGUGUCAUCCAAGGAAUGUGAAAAGUGUAGUUAAGUUAAAUAAGUAAGUUUAGUUAAGUAUUUUUAAAUAUUUAAUGUGUAUCUCUCUAAUAUUCUCUCCCUAAAAAAACAUAAAAAAAUACAAAAAAAACAUAUAAAAAAUUGAAAUCACUUAAAAAAAUGUAGACUACGAUGACGUAGAUACGACAACGUGUGGGUUUGUCAACAAAAAAAGUAUAAAAUAACAAAAAUUUACAAAAAAAAUAUAGGUUAGGAAUAUAGGUAGGUUUUUAAGUUAAUUAAUCUUAGCGUUCUAAAAAAAAAAAAAAAAAAACUAAAAAAGCAAAAACACAAAAGAAUACUAGCCUAAAUUAAGUUAAUUUGUGUCAGUAUACAAAAAAGGCCAUUAGGCACCAAAAAAAUAAUAAAAAAAUACUAAAAUAACAAAAAAUAUAUAUGUAUAUGUGUGUGAACUACAUAUAAUGAGUGUAAGUAAAUUAAUAUUAGCGUUCUAAAAAUGAAAAAAAAAAACAUAAAAAAAUACAAAAUUUUAAAACCACAAAAAAUUAAGACUAAGAUAAAUUAAGUUAAUAUUAGAUAGUAAAAAAAAUAUAUAUUAAAAAACUAACAAAAAAAUCGUAAGUAGUUAAAACG